CAGCACAGCAGCAGGUGGUCAGAGCUGGAAGCUGAGGGUUCCUGCUGUCAAUGACUGUGAUGAUGGAUGCACAGGGUUAAAUGUCUGCUAAGGGACUGAUGGGUCAGCUCAGCAGUUUCUACAGCGUUUGGAAAUCUUUAAAUGAUAUUGGACCAAAGCAAGGAUAGUUUCAUCUAGUGUAUCUCCAUCAACCAGCCUGCUCCAGAGUGGCUGUCAGUAACCCUCAAC